GAAAAACGGUCUCAGUUCGGAUUGAAGGCUGAAAUUCGCCUUCAUGAAGCUGGAAUUGCUAGUAAUGGCAGGUCAGCAUACUGCCGUGAAUACGUUCCCGGGCCUUGUACACACCGCCCGUCACACCAUGAGAGUUGGAAAUACCCGAAGCCUGUGAGCUAACUUUUAGAGGCAGCAGUCGAAGGUAGAGCCAAUGAUUGGGGUGAAGUCGUAACAAGGUAAC
rnacentral:rRNA from 1 species